rnacentral:rRNA from 1 species
CUCGGGUGACAGCAGUGGGGAAUAUUGGACAAUGGGCGAAAGCCUGAUCCAGCUAUGCCGCGUGUGUGAAGAAGGCCUUCGGGUUGUAAAGCACUUUCAGUGGGGAAGAAAGCCUUGGGGCUAAUACCCUCGAGGAAGGACAUCACCCACAGAAGAAGCACCUGCUAACUCCGUGCCAGCAGCCGCGGUAAUACGGAGGGUGCGAGCGUUAAUCGGAAUUACUGGGCGUAAAGCGCGCGUAGGCGGUCUGAUAAGCCGGUUGUGAAAGCCCCGGGCUCAACCUGGGAACGGCAUCCGGAACUGUCAGGCUAGAGUGCAGGAGAGGAAGGUAGAAUUCCCGGUGUAGCGGUGAAAUGCGUAGAGAUCGGGAGGAAUACCAGUGGCGAAGGCGGCCUUCUGGACUGACACUGACGCUGAGGUGCGAAAGCGUGGGUAGCAAACAGGAUUAGAUACCCCGGUAGUC